rnacentral:rRNA from 1 species
UACGAAGGGUGCAAGCGUUAAUCGGAAUUACUGGGCGUAAAGCGCGCGUAGGUGGUUCGUUAAGUUAGGAGUGAAAGCCCCGGGCUCAACCUGGGAAUUGCUUCUAAAACUGGCGAGCUAGAGUAUGGUAGAGGGUGGUGGAAUUUCCUGUGUAGCGGUGAAAUGCGUAGAUAUAGGAAGGAACAUCAGUGGCGAAGGCGACCACCUGGACUGAUACUGACACUGAGGUGCGAAAGCGUGGGGAGCAAACAGGAUUAGAUAUCCCCGUAGUCCCU